CGGAAUGAGUAGCGCGAAUGCAGUGAGAAUCUGCAUGGCCGAAAGCCUCAGGUUUUUGGAGGAAGGUUCGUCCGCUCCAAGUUAGUCGGGAGCUAAGGUGAGGCCGAAAGGCGUAGCCGAUGCACAGACGGUAGAGAUUCCGUCACCACCAAAAGAGUUAAGCACAGGGACACAUUUGAAGUCUCAGAGCCGGGUGUUGGUUCCGGUAGAGAUCGAGGGAAAUUAGUACCGAAGUCUGAGAUGGAAGAUGGCGAGAAAAGCUGUGUGUAUUUCUGAGGUGCCCGUACCGCAAACCGACACAGGUAGGUAGGAAGAAGAUUCUAAGGCCAACGGGAGAAGGGUUGUUAAGGAACUCGGCAAAUUGACCCCGUAACUUCGGGAGAAGGGGUGCUCCAGAGAUGGAGCCGCAGAGAAUCGGCCCAAGCAACUGUUUACCAAAAACACAGGUUUGUGCUAAAUCGAAAGAUGACGUAUACGAGCUGACGCCUGCCCGGUGCUGGAAGGUUAAGAGGAGAUGUGCAAGCAUUGAAUCGAAGCCCCAGUGAACGGCGGCCGUAACUAUAACGGUCCUAAGGUAGCGAAAUUCCUUGUCAGGUAAGUUCUGACCCGCACGAAAGGCGUAAUGAUUUGGGCACUGUCUCAACAGCCCGCCCGGCGAAAUUGUAGUACCGGUGAAGAUGCCGGUUACCCGCGACAAGACGGAAAGACCCCAUGGAGCUUUACUGUAGCCUAAUAUUGGGUUUCGAUGUUGCAUGCACAGGAUAGAUGGGACACUGGGAAACAGGAGCUUUGGCUUCUGCGGAGUGGCCGUUGGGAUACCAUCCUUGCGAUAUUGGAAUUCUAACCUGCGGCUCUGAAUCGAGUCGGGGGACAUUGUUAGGUGGGCAGUUUGACUGGGGCGGUCGCCUCCUAAAGAGUAACGGAGGCGUUCAAAGGUUCGCUCAGCUUGAACGGAAAUCAAGCAAAAGAGUGCAAACGCAGAAGCGAGCCUAACUGCGAGACUGACGGGUCGAGCAGUAACGAAAGUUGGAGUUAGUGAUCCGGUGGUAUGUGAGUGGAAAUGCCAUCGCUCAACGGAUAAAAGCUACCCUGGGGAUAACAGGCUGAUCUCCCCCAAGAGUCCACAUCGACGGGGAGGUUUGGCACCUCGAUGUCGGCUCAUCGCAUCCUGGGGCUGUAUUCGGUCCCAAGGGUUUGGCUGUUCGCCAAUUAAAGCGGUACGCGAGCUGGGUUCAGAACGUCGUGAGACAGUUCGGUCCCUAUCUGUCGUGGGCGCAGGAUAUUUGAUGGGAGCUGUUCCUAGUACGAGAGGACCGGAGCGGACGUACCUCUGGCGCACCAGUUGUUCUGCCAAGAGCAUAGCUGGGCAACUAUGUACGGAUCGGAUAAACGCUGAAAGCAUCUAAGCGUGAAGCCGACCCAAAGAUAAGAUAUCCCAUUGUUUCAAACAAGUAAGACCCCUUGAAGACUACAAGGUUGAUAGGCACGAUGUGUAAGUGGAGCGAUCCAUUCAGCAAGCGUGUACUAAUAGGUCGAGGGCUUGACCAC
rnacentral:rRNA from 1 species